GCAUACUGAAUGAGGAGACUGGCGGCCCGAUACAUGAUCAUCGAUGACCAACUCUACUAGAGGUCAUCGUCUUUGCCCCUACUCAAGUGCCUCUGACCCUCCAAAGCCGACACGCUCUUCGGGAGGUGCAUGAGAGCAUUUAUAACAACCAUUUUGGGGGCAAGCCGCUGUUCUAUAACUUACUAUGGUAAGGAUAUUAUUAGCUGACCAUGCAGAAGGAUGCUACCGAUCUAGUGCAGAAGUGCGACCAAUAUCUGAGGUUUGCCAAUGUCUAAAGAUUUUCGUCAAGUCAACUCACAACGAUUUUGGUACCAUGGCCAUUCGAUCAGUGGAGAGUCGAUAUACUCGAUCCUUUUUCGCUUGCUAGUGGAGA
rnacentral:lncRNA from 1 species